rnacentral:tRNA from 1 species
CGACGCCGGGCCCCGGAGCGGGCACGCCGUCCGGAUCGGCGUCGGCCGCCACGGGGGUCCCGGCACCCCCGCCGCCGUCC